rnacentral:rRNA from 1 species
UACGUAGGGUGCAAGCGUUAAUCGGAAUUACUGGGCGUAAAGCGUGCGCAGGCGGUUUUGUAAGUCUGUCGUGAAAUCCCCGGGCUCAACCUGGGGAAUUUGCGAUGGUGACUGCACGGCUAGAGUGUGUCAGAGGGGGGGUAGAAUUCCACGUGUAGCAGUUGAAAUGCGUAGAGAUGUGGAGGAAUACCGAUGGCGAAG